rnacentral:ncRNA from 1 species
GCCUUUUUCACAAAAAAAGGCGCAUCAUCGACCGACCUAUUCUACUCUUAGAAAGGUUUGAGUAAGAGCGCAUCUGUUGGGACCCGAAAGAUGGUGAACUAUGCCUGAAUAGGGUGAAGCCAGAGGAAACUCUGGUGGAGGCUCGUAGCGAUUCUGACGUGCAAAUCGAUCGUCAAAUUUGGGUAUAGGGGCGAAAGACUAAUCGAACUGUCUAGUAGCUGGUUCCCUCCGAAGUUUCCCUCAGGAUAGCUGGAACUUACGGCAGUUUUAUCAGGUAAAGCGAAUGAUUAGAGGUCUUAGGGUUAAAACAACCUUAACCUAUUCUCAAACUUUAAAUUGGUAAGAAGUCCGACUUGCUUAAUUGAAGCCGGACAGUGAAUGCGAGUUCCUAGUGGGCCAUUUUUGGUAAGCAGAACUGGCGAUGCGGGAUGAACCGAACGCGCGGUUAAGGUGCCAAAGUCGACGCUCAUCAGACCCCACAAAAGGUGUUGGUUGCUCUAGACAGCAGGACGGUGGCCAUGGAAGUUGGAAUCCGCUAAGGAGUGUGUAACAACUCACCUGCCGAAGCAACUAGCCCUGAAAAUGGAUGGCGCUCAAGCGUCGCACCUAUACCGUGCCGUCGGAGCAGAUGCGAAGCUCCGACGAGUAGGAGGGCGUGGGGGUCGUGACGCAGCCUCUGGCGCGAGCCUGGGUGAAACGGCCUCCAGUGCAGAUCUUGGUGGUAGUAGCANAUAUUCAAAUGAGAGCUUUGAAGACCGAAGUGGAGAAAGGUUCCAUGUGAACAGCAGUUGGACAUGGGUUAGUCGAUCCUAAGAGAUAGGGAAAUUCCGUUUGCAAGCGCCCGAUCUUGGGCCGCCUAUCGAAA